CACAUUUUGGAGAGAAAUUAAAACAAAUGGAAUGUAGCAAAGUGAUGAGUGUUGAAUAUGGAAAUUGUUUGAACGGCGGUAUACAACUGCAUGUUGCCUUUAUUUGAUAAAUUUAAUGAUAUGGUGAAUCUAUAAUUGUUUAUUUUAAACUGACUUUGAAAUAACCAAUAGAAUUUCCAUAACAACAUGUACAUGUAGUUUCUUUCAUUUACAAGCUGAUUUAAUCAUUCAUAAUGUGAUCAAGCACAGAAUCCUCUAUAAAGUAGUGGUCCCAAGAUUUGACAAUCAAAUAUUUUAAAGGACUGAUAUAUGACUUUGGUUAUUUUUUGCAAUAGAAAUUAUAGAUCAUUAUAGUAAGGACCAGCAGGGAAAAAUAUUUUCAAGAACUCUAGUCUGCAAGCAUGCAUUCCACAAUUCACUGUUCAGUGAUUUUUUGGUAUUUCAGAUCAUAGAAAAUUUCCAGAUAUUAUGAUGAUCUAACAAUUAAAGAUAUAUUACCGUAGUUAUCUUUUUUUUUGUUCUAACCACAGCCAUAUUUGGCAAUGAGUGAAUAUAAUUUCAUUUAUUCAUAAUUGCUAUUAAUAUUAUGGCCGUGGGCUAUUAUUCAUUAUUUUGCAACCCUGUAAAUUAAAACAGAUCUGGAUACAUUGUUCAUUGUAUACUUAUUCAAAUUUACCUUUUAUAAUGAUAAAUUGUUACUCAUAAAAUUUUAUAGUUUUUUAUCUAAUGAUUAUUCCAUUAUUGUAUUUUCUAGCGAAAAUUUACCACGGUUCUAUGGACAACUAAAGGAGAAUAAUUUCAUUUGUCAAAGGACAGGAGACUUUCCAUGCCUCAAGACUUUAAAAGCUGAAAUUGUAAGGCUUUAAGAAACUAAUGUAUAUGAGUUUCCUUAAAAACAUUAAGUAUAAUUCAAGUCUUAACUUUUUUAUUUAGACAUAUUUUUAAGAAAAAUAUAAUGUUUUAACUUUGUUCAAUGCAUUUUUAUAAUUUCUUUAAUUGGAAGAAAUAAAGCACUUAAUUUAUACACAAAAAUCUUUUUGAUUUAAGCUUUCGUAUGAACCUUUUUAAGAUCAUUACAUGGAGCUUACACUGUUUGAAGAGAUGUGGUAGUAAUGACCAAUGAGACAGCAACUCAACUACAAGAAUAACCAAAGGAACAUAUCAAGAUACUUUUUUAACUGUCUAACACAAAUCUAAUGCUCCCUACAGUCAAAUACCAAACAAUUAAAAGAGUAAACACAUGCAGUAAUUCUUUAAAUACAUAAUGUUUGUCUCCAAUUAAUAAAGCAGUUGUCUGAACUUGUGUCAUAUCUUUGUAGGGAAAUAAGAUGCAGAGAACCAUUCAUGAAGUGUAUACAUGAAACUGAUAUUUACAAUGUUCUUCAGAGCUAUAACUCUAGCCCUUAAGAUUACAUUACACUACUAUUGCUUGCUAAUUCUACUAUCAACAGUAGAAGAGAGAAGAUUCAGGACUAAGAGUGAUUUUUGCAAUUUGCUGUGGAUGAUGACUUAAUCAAAUUUGGAUGCAUUGAUGAAAUUCAUACAACGAUGACAGUUAAUUCUUUGAACAAGAAAAAGCUGUAGAUAUUUUCAAUGGUGCAAAACAAAAAAGUUAUGAACUAUAAAAUGAUUAAAACUGUGUUGAGUUUACAAUUUUUAUAAAAGUGACA
rnacentral:lncRNA from 1 species